GAACCGGACAAACGUUAUUCGGAAUUAUUGGGCUUAAAGGGUGCGUAGGCGGCGCGGUAAGUGAGGUGUGAAAGCCCACGACUCAAUCGUGGAAUUGCGCUUCAUACUGCCGUGCUAGAGGGAGACAGAGGUAAGCGGAACUGAUGGUGGAGCGGUGAAAUGCGUUGAUAUUAUCAGGAACACCGGUGGCGAAGGCGGCUUACUGGGUCUCUUCUGACGCUGAGGCACGAAAGCUAGGGUAGCGAACGGGGAUUAGAUACCCCGGUAGUCCUAGCUGUAAACGAUGAGCACUUGGUUGGGAACCCUCCCAUAGUUUCCCGACCCGCAGCGAAAGUGUUAAGUGCUCCGCCUGGGGAGUAUGGUCGCAAGGCUG
rnacentral:rRNA from 1 species